AAGGCAUGGUGAGGGCUCUUUCUAAGCAUCUCCUUGAAUCUCUCACAACUCUUAUAAAUAGAGUUUCCUUCUUACUGAGUAAAAGAAGUAAUGUCACUUCUAAGAUU